GAUGAACGCUGGCGGCGUGCCUAAUACAUGCAAGUCGAGCGAACAGACGAGGAGCUUGCUCCUCUGACGUUAGCGGCGGACGGGUGAGUAACACGUGGAUAGCCUACCUAUAAGACUGGGAUAACUUCGGGAAACCGGAGCUAAUACCGGAUAAUAUAUUGAACCGCAUGGUUCAAUAGUGAAAGACGGUUUUGCUGUCACUUAUAGAUGGAUCCGCGCCGCAUUAGCUAGUUGGUAAGGUAACGGCUUACCAAGGCGACGAUGCGUAGCCGACCUGAGAGGGUGAUCGGCCACACUGGAACUGAGACACGGUCCAGACUCCUACGGGAGGCAGCAGUAGGGAAUCUUCCGCAAUGGGCGAAAGCCUGACGGAGCAACGCCGCGUGAGUGAUGAAGGUCUUCGGAUCGUAAAACUCUGAUAUUAGGGAAGAACAAAUGUGUAAGUAACUAUGCACGUCUUGACGGUACCUAAUCAGAAAGCCACGGCUAACUACGUG
rnacentral:rRNA from 1 species